rnacentral:sRNA from 1 species
AUGUACCACUCGCCGGUUCCUGUGCGCCGUCCAUGCCCACCUGACGACCGCUACGUUUUGUUAGCA